rnacentral:rRNA from 1 species
AACGAACGCUGGCGGCGUGGUUAAGACAUGCAAGUCGAACGGGGCAGUCUGGUAGUAAUAUCAGGCUGUUCAGUGGCGAACGGGUGCGUAACACGUGGGUGACAUGCCGGGAAGCGAGGAAUAGCCCAGGGAAACUUGGAUUAAUGCCUCAUGUGGUCGAGAGACUAAAGGUGGUGAAAGCUGCCGCUUCCUGAUUGGCCCGCGGCCUAUCAGCUUGUUGGUGAGGUAAAGGCUCACCAAGGCUACGACGGGUAGCUGGUCUUAGAGGACGACCAGCCACACUGGAACUGAGACACGUUCCAGACACCUACGGGUGGCAG